rnacentral:rRNA from 1 species
GAGCAACGCCGCGUGAGUGAMGAAGGUUUUCGGAUCGUAAAACUCUGUUGUGAGGGAAGAACCCGUACCAVBVAACUACUGGVACCUUGACGGUACCUCVCCAGAAAGCCACGGCUAACUACGUGCCAGCAGCCGCGGUAAUACGUAGGUGGCAAGCGUUGUCCGGAAUUAUUGGGCGUAAAGCGCGCGCAGGCGGUCCCUUAAGUCUGAUGUGAAAGCCCACGGCUCAACCGUGGAGGGUCAUUGGAAACUGGGGGACUUGAGUGCAGAAGAGGAAAGUGGAAUUCCACGUGUAGCGGUGAAAUGCGUAGAGAUGUGGAGGAACACCAGUGGSGAAGGCGACUUUCUGGUCUGUAACUGACGCUGAGGCGCGAAAGCGUGGGGAGCAAACAGGAUUAGAUACCCUGGUAGUCCACGCCGUAAACGAUGAGUGCUAAGUGUUAGGGGGUUUCCGCCCCUUAGUGCUGCAGCUAACGCAUUAAGCACUCCGCCUG